GUUACUUUCUCGAAAUGAAAAUUUACGCAUAAAAUAAAAGUGAUAUUCAAAGUUUGGAGAUUAUGAGGAAUCGUACCCUAACGUAUUGGGACUCGAUUUCUUUACAUGACUCGAACAAUCGGUUGUCCUUUUGCAAAUUUCAUCAUUCAAGUUUAUUUUAAAAUCUUUUUAAACCUUCGACACUAAGACAUCAAAUAGUCAAUUUGGUACCGAUUUUUGGGCGUUGCGAGGGUGCUAACCUUUCCUCAUGCGUAACUGACUCCCGAACCUGCUUUCUCAAAAUUCGCAGACCAAAAUAAUUUUUAUGGUGAGCCGAUCACACCUUAAUAAAGGAUCGGUGGCGACUCUAAUUUUUUUUAAAGUCGAUAAUGAAAUUUUUGUUUUUCAAAGAACGAAUUCGACAGCUUGGAGACUCCACUAGGGAAACUUGAGAGUCGAGCCAUAAACUGAUUAUAUUUGUCUUUGAGUCGAAAAUCAAAAGUUUUAAAAAAUUCAUGAGUUCCCUUCGCAUUCAUCAUUUUUUUCAUCUUGGUAUGUUGGCAACUUUGCAUUUGCAUUUUGCAUUUUACCCUUUAAGUGGGAGCGAGAAACUAGUCCUUCGUGAGGUUUUCACCUUCGUGCAGGGUAGUAGACCGCUUCCGGGAUACAUCCGUACCUAUGUCUUCGUGUGAUUUUCAUCUCCGUGCAGCCAUAGGGAAAUGUAUCCCCCUGAACUGAACUCGAUCUAUAUGAGCCUAUAAUGGGUGAGGAUCGAGGAAUCUGCUGGUUCGGGUACCCUUACUCUAGAAACUAAGCCUCAUAUAGUGAGCUUUAGGAACUUGACCUAGGUAGAACUAUCCCAAAACCCUAGUGGGUUCCUGAUUAAGUGUUUCUUGCUAUUUCAUGUUUGUAUUUGAUUAUAUCUCUAUAUGUGAUACUGACUUGGGUUUUUUUUGUUUUGAUUCCAUGACAUCAUGAUUGCAUAGCAUUUCAUCCUAAAAGGGCGUUAAUUAAUAUUUGGUUGCUAGAUAGAAAGCUUAUCAUGAAAAAUGGGUUUCUUGAUAAGGUGGAAGAUAAUGCGGCUGUCCAAACUUGGUCUGAGACAACACAGCAGGAGAAAGGUGAUAGUUUGGCUGAAGGAUGUGUCAGAGUUGUGGGACUUCACUCGUGUUAGCGUGACUCAGAAUAGCCUACAGGAACUAAAGGAAAUUUGGGACCGGUGGAAUGAUGAGAUUAAGCAGCUCUUCUACUCUAGCUAUGAAGACCUACCUUACUUGCUCGACUUAAAGGUGGAUAAGCACUUAUUUCGUGCCUUAGCCCAAUUUUGGAAUCCUGCUUAUAGUUGCUUUACUUUUGGAAAAGUUGACUUAGUGCUUACGGUGGAGGAAUACACGGCAUUGCUUCGUUGUUCAAAAAUUCAAGUGGACAAAGCCUAUUCAAGAUGCUAAUGUUCCAACCUUUUUGAAGAAAUUGAUGAAUAUUACGGGGAUGAGUGAGCAAUGGGUCACAGCACGAAUCAAACAAAAGGGAGAUAGUAAGUGCAUUCUUUGGAGGAACCUGAAAGAUUUAAUUCUAGCGCACCGGAUACGAGGAAGAGGGUUGAUGUCUUUGCCUUGGGUAUUUACGGUUUGGUUGUCUUUCCUAAAGCUUUGGGACAUAUUGAUGAAGCAGUCACUGACCUUUUUGACCAUCUUGACAAGGGGGUUACACGGUUCCAGCAAUUCUGGCAGAAACUUUCAGAUCUCUGAAUGAAUGUCGAAGAGUAGGUGAGGGUAGAUUCAUUGGAUGCACGCAGCUCCUUUUAGCAUGGUUUCACAGUCACUUUUGGAAGGUGGAUAAGGUUUCCUAUCGGGUUUUUUCUGAAAAUUAUUCGCCCUUGAAGGAAAUAGUGGCAUUACCCAGGCAGGAUGGUAUCUCAGAGGAAAAAUGGAUGGCAACACUUUAGAAUCUUCAAGAGGGGGAUAUUGAAUGGAGAGCUCCUUGGAUGCUGUCAGAUGAGAUCUUAUAUAGGUGUGGAGAUUUUGACUGGGUCCCUUUACUUGGGAUUUGGGGGGCUAUUGGCUAUGCACCGUUAUUGGUACUGAGACAGUAUAGGUCAAGACAGUUCGUACCAACAACCCAUGGAUUAGCUCAGUGUGAAUUCUCGUAUAAGUGUGAUGGUUACAAGAAGAAGAUACGAUAAAUGACUAAUGCUUGGAGGUAGACUCGCCGAUUGAAAAGGUUGGCAGUAGGUCCAUCAACGACGCCUAAAUAUAUCGAGUGGCUUAAUAGAAGGAUCAAUGAUAAUAUACCUGUACCAGGUCAAUGAGACAGUCAAUUUGUGGAAAAGCAUGUACAUAUGGUCCCUUCUAAGCUAGAAAUUAUAAAACAGGAUUUUGAAAGAAGAAAUUCUGAGCUUGAGAAGAAGAUAGAUCAAAUGGAAGAGGAGAAGAUGAAUUUAAGGCUGGACAUAGAUGUUUAGAAAUUGGUCCACCAUGGAAGGGGAUUGCAUCAAUUACUCCAAAAAGUGCCAUAAAUGUCAAAUCUAUGGUGAUAAAAUGCAUGCACCUCCCUCACCUCUUCAUGUCAUGACUUCUCCAUGGCCUUUCUCCAUGUGGGGUAUGGAUGUCAUCGAGCCAAUAUCGCCGAAGGCUUCAAAUAGGUAUCGUUUCAUAUUUGUGGUUAUUGAUUACUUCACCAAAUGGGUAGAAGCUGCUUCGUAUGCUACCGUUACAAAGUCAUCAGUCAGCAAGUUCUUGAAGAAAGAGAUCAUAUGUCGGUAUGGAAUGCCUGAAAGAAUCAUAUCCGACAAUGCGUUGAAUUUGAACAACAGUUCAAUAGCAGAAGUCUGCAGUCAAUUCAAGAUCAGACAUCACAAUUUGUCGCCGUAUCGCUCAAAAAUGAAUGGUGCAGUGGAAGCGGCCAAUAAAAAUAUAAAGAAGAUUGUGGGGAAGAUGGCUAAGACUUACAGGGACUAGCACGAAAAAUUAUCGUUCGCCCUUAUUGCUUAUUGAACGUCAAUCAGGACUUUCACCGGGGCAACGUCUUUCUCCUUAGUUUAUGGCAUGGAGGCAGUCUUGCCCAUCGAAGUUGAAAUCCCUUCUCUCCGGGUUUUGACUGAGCUACAAUUAGAUGAAGCAGAGUGGGUUCAAUCACGAUACGAUCAAUUGAACUUGAUAGAGGGAAAAAGGCUAAAGGCUAUUCAACAUGGUUAGAUGUACUAGAAAAGAAUGAUGCGAGCCUACAACAAAAAGGUCUGACCCAGAGAGUUUCACGAGGGGGACCUAGUGUUGAGAAAAAUUCUUUCUCUACAAAAAGACUUUAGGGGGAAAUGGAUGCCGAAUUGGGAAGGUUCUUAUGUUGUAAAAAAGGCCUUUUCUGGAGGAGCCCUGAUCUUGGCUGAAAUGGAUGGAAGAAACUUGCCUAAUCCAGUAAAUUCAGACUCGGUCAAGAGAUACUUUAGUUGAAGAGGGGAAGGAACCAUGGCGAAAACCUGCAAACGACGCUUUGAUUCCAAAAAAAAAAGGAGAGGCUAAGGUGAAAACCUGCAAAGGGCACCUUAAGACCAAAGGGGAUUUGAGUUGAAAACCUGAAAAGGGCGGCUCAAAUUUUGAUUGUCACGUGGUAGUCUUGUUGUACCUAAAUCUGUAGAAAGGAGUAGAUGACGUCUUGGGGCAUCAACAAAAUACUGUGAAUUUCCUAAACACGUGUUGAAUUUAGAAGGGUUUUCGAAAAGCUGUAUAGAGAAAUUAAAGCAGAGAUAUCUGGGGCACUUGAUCAUAGUAUUUGUAUUGAGUUCGUUGUUUUAGAACAUUUCAUUCUUUUUCAAUAUAAAUGUCCCCAGGCAAUUCCUCUAUCAUUGAUAAACCAUCGCGAGCUAUGCUCCCAAACUAAUUUUUUUUAUUCAUCGUUAUGAUCUUUUCGCAAGCAUGUUGCAUUAGAAUGACGAUUAAUGGACUAAUAAAACUUUCACAAGGGAAGUUCUUCAUAUUACUCUAGAAAUUUCUAAAUAAUACAGGAGCCUGAAGUAGGACUAUUGUUUAGACUUCACCAGGUUAAAAGGUCGGAGAUCUCUAGGAGUUAAGAGUCAAGAUUAAAAUUUUCAAGUUUUGACGAAGCGUUGUUGUCACAAAGGAAGCCUUAAUGAGCAAUAAUGACUUUAAACAUUCAAUAUUCAUUUUUCAUGACAUGACAAUUCAAAUGUCAUUCAUACACGCCUAGUUAGGAGCAUUUGAUUUAUUUUAUCAUGACAUCCUAAUCAUUAGGCAUAAUUAGGUUCAUAAAGUGAAUUAUACAGGUCAUGUUCCCUAGAGAGCAGAUCGGCGAAAUCAUAAAGCCUUAUCUCCCUGAGCAACAGUGGAGCAGGUUGAAAAGAUAGCAGGUUCUGUCUUCCUAUAUCAGUAGCGAAGUGGACCGAAUAUACAGAUCUUAUCUUUCCAUACUGGUGGUGAAGUAGAUCGGAAAAAGUAGAUCUUGUCUUCAUGUACUGGCGUGAAGUAGAUCAAGGAUGACAGAUCUUGCCUUUCCAUACUGGUGGCGAAGCAGAUCGAAGAAAACAGAUAUUGUCUUCAUGUACUGGCGUGAAGUAGAUCAAAGAUACCAGAUCUUGUCUUUCCAUACUGGCGGCGAAGCGGAUCGAAGAAAACAGAUCUUGUCUUUCCAUACUGGUGGCGAAACGGAUCGAAGAAAACAGAUCUUGUCUUCAUGUAUUGGCGUGAAGCAGAUCAAAGAUAGUGGAUCUUGUCUUCCCAUACUGGUGGCGAAAUAGAUUGAAGAAAACAGAUCUUGUCUUCAUGUACUGGCGUGAAGUAGAUCAAAAAAACAUAUUUUGUCUCCCCAUACUGGUGGUGGAGUAGAUCGAAAAAAAUAAAUCUUAUCUUCAUGUACUGGCGUGAAGUAGAUCAAAGAUAGCAGGUCCUGUCUUCCUAUAUCGGUAGCGAAGUGGAUCGAAUAUACAGAUCUUAUCUUCCCAUACUGGUGGUGAAGUAGAUCGAAAAAAGUAAAUCUUGUCUUCAUGUGCUGGCGUGAAGUAGAUCAAGGAUGACAGAUUUUGCCUCCCCAUACUGGUGGUGGAGUAGAUUGAAGAAAAACAAAUCUUGUCUUCAUGUACUGGCGUGAAGUAGAUCAAAUGUAACAUAUAUUGUCUCCUCAUACUGGUGGCAAAGCAGAUCGAAGGAAACAGAUCUUGUCUUCAUGUACUGGCGUGAAGUAGAUCAAAGGUAACAGAUCUUGCCUCCCCAUAUUGGUGGUGGAGCAGAUUGAAGAAAAGCAAAUCUUGUCUUCAUGUAUCGGCGUGAAGUAGAUCAAAUACAACAAAUAUUGUCUCCCCAUACUGGUGGUGGAAUAGAUUGAAGAUUACAGAUCUUAUCUCCCUAAGCAGUAGUGGAGUAGAUCAAAGAUGGUGGAUUUUACCUCCCUGAGGUUACAGUGGAGUACAUUAAAGCCAGUUAUUCCAAUCUCAUUGAAGUUGCAAUGGAGUGGAUUAAAGUACCAGUUCUUAUACCUCUGAAGAUGCAGUAGGAAGGAACAUGGCUACUUAAAGAAGAGAAGCAUUAAAGAAGUUGAGGCUCAGUAAGACUGGGCACAAUUGGGCCUUUUAGUCUUUGCUCUGUUCCCGUUACACGACAACGAGCAAAGAGGGGCAGCUGUAAUAAGGCCCAAUCGGCCCAAAAUACUUCUUAGCCCGACACUACAAAAUUAAACAGAAAAAUCCUAAGCAAUAAGGAGUGCCACAUCUGCCUCAGCGCCGCAACAGCACCCAUGCCACGCCUAAUGCCCGAUCGCCGCACGUUUUGGCCUCCAUGCGCGCCGUAGUCUCCACGAACACUUACAAAACAGACUCAAAGAGUCCAAAUAAUGUAAAACAACAAGAAACAAGGAAAAUAGGUUAGCGUUAGGCUAUAAAAGCCUUUGAAAAUCUGUUCUUGAGGGGGAUCAAAGAGAGAAAAAUCAAUAGAAAGCAAAUAUCAGUUUUAAGGUGAUUUAUUAAAAUUUCUUUAGUUAUUUUAUUUUAUUUUUGUUUUAUUUCUGUGCAUACAAAAGUAAAAAGGGUGAGAGGUUUACCUUCGAAGCCUCGCCGAUGAAGCCCACGUUCGUUGCGCUCGAAUCGGACGUCUAGCAGAGAGUGGAGGCUUGAGGCGAAGGCAUGAACGAGUAUUUGGGUAUGAAAACCCUAGCAGAGGAUUUCUUUGCUGUUUGGCGAAAAAAAGAAAGGAAAAUGAGUUGUUCUUGGGGAAAUUUUUGGGUUUUGUAACGAUGGCAAAACGGCGUCGUUUAGGGCAUGUUCCUGUGGCCCCAAAACGGCGCCGUAUGGGGCUAUACCCACGCGGUGACCCGACCCGGGGAAGAUCCGCGCGUCUUGGGCCUGAAUGGUACAUUUGCGCGUUUGGUUCUUCAGUUUUUAAAAUUUGUUUAAAUCAACUUUUUAUUUCUUUUAAUUUUGGCCACAUGUUUUAUUUUUGUUUCAAACCAGUCCUCAGUGCUGCGCACCGUUUAGGGAGUGGGAUUAUUUCCAUUUGGGCCCCCUCAUAUAAUGCGCGCAUUGCAAAUUGGUCCCCGUUCAAUUUUAAUUUCAUUUUUUUGAUUAUUUUUUUUGCCAUUUGUUUUUUUUAAAAUUAAAAUUUUUAGAAGUAUUGCUUUAUAAUUUAUUAUUAUUUCUAUAUGUAUACACACAUUUUUAAUAUUAGUAUAUAUACAUAUUUCUUUAUCUAAUAUAUAUUCUUAAAACUUAUAUAAAUACAUGCAUUUUACAUACGUUUUCUAUAUAUAUAUUUAUCUCUUUUAACUUUUAUAUAUUAUAUAUUAUAUAUAUACAUUUUUAUAAACAUGCUUUUUUACUAUCCUGUUCCAUUUUUUUUAUAUACAUAUGCAUUUUUUCUCUUUUAUUUUGAAUACAUGUUUUUUGUUUGUUUUAUUGGAUAUAUUUCAUUCCUUCAAUUUGCAUGUAUACUUGUAUAUGUGUUAGAUAUAUGUAUACAUAUGUUUGCAACUUUACUGUUAUAUUGUAUUUGUAUAUAUAUAUUUGUAAAUAUUUAUUCGUAUAUGUUGUAAAUUAUAGUAUCUGUAUCAUAUUGUAUAUUAACUCUUUAACAUACCCUUUUUGAAAAUGUAUUUUGAUUUUAACCAUUCAUCAAAGUUAUUUUCUUGAUUUAAAGGUUUUUUUUUUGAAUAAAAGCAUUGUUGGAAGUUUGGGAUUCUCGAGGGAAAUUGAGCCCUAACGUAUUGGGUUCUGAUUUUCUUUAUCAAUCUUAAAUGACCGAGAAUAUUCUUUAUUCAAAAUGCAUGAGCAUAAAAAUUAUUUUUGGAAAUUUAACAUGUCGUGCCUUAACGUAUUGGGUGUGGCCUGUUACUUUCUCGAAAUGAAGAUUUACGCAUAAAAUAAAAGUGAUAUUCAAAGUUUGGGGAUUAUGAGGAAUCGUACCUUAACGUAUUGGGACUCGGUUUCUUUACAUGACUCGAACAAUUGUUUGUCCUUUUGCAAAUUUCAUCAUUCAAGCUUAUUUUAAAAUAUUUUUAAACCUUCGACACUAAGACAUCAAAUAGUCAAUUUGGUACCGAUUUUUGGGCGUUGCGAGGGUGCUAACCCUUCCUCAUGCGUAACUGACUCCCGAGCCUGUUUUCUCAAAAUUCGCA
rnacentral:lncRNA from 1 species